rnacentral:rRNA from 1 species
GACGAACGCUGGCGGCGUGCUUAACACAUGCAAGUCGAACGGAAAGGCCCUGCUUGCGGUGUACUCGAGUGGCACAGGGGUGUGUAACCCGUGGAUGAUCUGCCCUGCACUUCGGGAUCAGCCUGGGAAUCUGGGUCUAAUACGGGAUAGGAUCCAUCUUCAUAGUGAUGGUUGGAAAGUUUUUUCGGUGUAGGAUGAACUCGCGGCCUAUCAGCUUGUUGGUGGGGUAAUGGCCUACCAAGGCGGCGACGGGUAGCCGGCCUGAGAGGGUGGACGGCCACAAUGGGACUGAGGUACGGCCCAGACGCCUACGGGAGGCAACAGUGGGGAAUAUUGCACAAUGGGGGCAGGCCUGAUGCAGCGACGCCGCGGGGGGGAUGACGGGCUUCGGGUUGUAAACUCGUUUCGCUAUGGAAGAAGCUUUUUGUGACGGUACCUAGAUAAGAAGCAACGGCUAACUACGUG